rnacentral:rRNA from 1 species
UCAGUCGACUCCUACGGGGAGGCAGCAGUGGGGGAAUAGUUGCACAAUGGGCGCAAGCCUGAUGCAGCCAUGCCGCGUGUGUGAAGAAGGCCUUCGGGUUGUAAAGCACUUUCAGUCGUGAGGAAGGUAGUGUCGUUAAUAGCGGCAUUACUUGACGUUAGCGACAGAAGAAGCACCGGCUAACUCCGUGCCAGCAGCCGCGGUAAUACGGAGGGUGCGAGCGUUAAUCGGAAUUACUGGGCGUAAAGCGCAUGCAGGUGGUUUGUUAAGUCAGAUGUGAAAGCCCGGGGCUCAACCUCGGAAUAGCAUUUGAAACUGGCAGACUAGAGUACUGUAGAGGGGGGUAGGAAUUUCAGGUGUAGCGGUGAAAUGCGUAGAGAUCUGAAGGAAUACCGGUGGCGAAGGCGGCCCCCUGGACAGAUACUGACACUCAGAUGCGAAAGCGUGGGGAGCAAACAGGAUUAGAUACCCCUGGUAG